rnacentral:rRNA from 1 species
AUACGUAGGGUGCAAGCGUUAAUCGGAAUUACUGGGCGUAAAGCGUGCGCAGGCGGUUUUGUAAGACAGUGGUGAAAUCCCCGGGCUCAACCUGGGAACUGCCAUUGUGACUGCAAGGCUGGAGUGCGGCAGAGGGGGAUGGAGUUCCGCGUGUAGCAGUGAAAUGCGUAGAUAUGCGGAGGAACACCGAUGGCGAAGGCAAUCCCCUGGGCCUGCACUGACGCUCAUGCACGAAAGCGUGGGGAGCAAACAGGAUUAGAUACCCUGGUAGUCCACGCCCUAAACGAUGUCAACUGGUUGUUGGGGAUUUAUUUUCUCAGUAACGAAGCUAACGCGUGAAGUUGACCGCCUGGGGAGUACGGCCGCAAGGUUAAAACUCAAAUGAAUUGACGGGG